GCAUUAGUAGCUCAGUGUUAGAGCGCCGGUCUUGUAAAUCGGAUGCCGGAGGUUAAACUCCUCCCUUGUGCU
rnacentral:tRNA from 1 species